GUGCCCGUAGCUCAGCUGGAUAGAGCACAAAAUUCCUAAUUUUGGGGUCGGAGGUUCAAGUCCUCUCGGGCACACCA
rnacentral:tRNA from 1 species